CAAUGCCCAUCGCUCCUACUGAUUGAAUGUUCUAGUGAAGUGUUCAUAUCGCAUCGACGUGGGCAGUCUGUUGCCCUCGACGUCGUGAGAAGUCUACUGAAUCUUAUCAUUUAGAGAAAGGAGAAGUUGUAACAAGGUUUUCAUAAGUGAAUCUAUGGAAG
rnacentral:rRNA from 1 species